CAAGAAAUGGGAGAUGAAAUCAAUGUUGAUAAUACAAAGUUAUGCCACAUUAGAAAAUGUAAUCCCACUAUACAUAACAAAAUGAAGGGGUCUAAAUGAGCU